rnacentral:rRNA from 1 species
AUUGAACGCUGGCGGCGUGCUUAACACAUGCAAGUCGAUCGGUAACAGGUGUAGCAAUACAUGCUGACGAGAGGCGGACGGGUGAGGAAUAUGUGGGAAUCUGCCCAUCAGCGGGGGACAACCCGGGGAAACCCGGGCUAAUACCGCAUACGCUCGACGGAGGAAAGCCGGGGCCCGCAAGGCCUGGCACUGAUGGAUGAGCCCAAAUCGGAUUAGCUAGUUGGCGGGGUAACGGCCCACCAAGGCGACGAUCCGUAGCUGGUCUGAGAGGACGAUCAGCCACACCGGAACUGAGACACGGUCCGGACUCCUACGGGAGGCAGCAGUGGGGAAUAUUGGACAAUGGGGGAAACCCUGAUCCAGCGACGCCGCGUGGGUGAAGAAGGCCUGCGGGUUGUAAAGCCCUUUCGGUAGGGACGAAAGCUCUUGCUCUAACAAGGCAGGAGGUUGACUUAACCUACAUAAGAAGCACCGGCUAACUCUGUGCCAGCAGCCGCGGUAAUAC